AUGCAGGAAAUGACUAAACAUUUAAUGCUGAUUACCUUGCAGUAUUCGUGGAGUCAGGAAGGUGAUGUGGAUGGCAUUGCGUGGGCAUUAAUGGAAAGAAAUUUGCCCACCUCUGUAGUAAGCAGUUCCCACUGUGUGAGGGAAACUAUCUCAGACUAUGCAAAGGUGAGUAACACUGGCCUUGCUCUGAAGUGAUUUAUAGUCUAAAGGAAAGGGCAGAAGGCCACUGAGCGGGAGGUAAAGGAAGAU
rnacentral:lncRNA from 1 species